rnacentral:lncRNA from 1 species
CAGCAAUGCGGCCUCCCAGCCCAGCGCGGGCAUUGUUGCGUUCAAGCGAGCUGUCACGCCAUCUUGCCUGGUACUGAACCCGUCUCCUGGGGGCUUGUUCGUUGUGAGGAUUGUCCCGCGCGGUCGAUUGACAACUUCAAUACUAAUGUCACAACUUCAAGACCUCAAGUAUUAAUAUCAAAAACAGGAUGGUAUGAUCCAGAUUAAUAACCUUCUGAAAACAGGUUUUUGACCCACACUAUUUUAUCCAUACACUAAUUAAGAACCACAAUGCCUCAUUAUUUCCACAAUUAACAACUGAGAAUGGUUAUUUCCGAGUUGAGAACUUUUCUUCCUCAAUUGAGAACAAAGGGAACUACGUCUCUCUCUUACGUGAACUUCGACAUCGUCUGUCGGUAUUAGGAUUUGGUUCCAGCUUCGCCGAAUUGAUGUUUGAGCUUGUUGCUUUGUUUCCCUUGCACUGGAAUUGCAUUUCAUGUUGCCGCACUGAUGCCGCACCCAUUUUUUAUUCGAGGAUUUUUAUUGGCUCCACGUCAAGAAUACUAUGAGCGGUACUACUUCCUGAGUGUGUGUUUGCAUUUGGGUUGAAUUUGGCUGUCUAUGAGUUAUCGAACAGCUCGAAAGAUUUUCUAUGGUUUUGGAUGGGUUGCUGAGAAAGAGUCGGAGAGAGAGAUUGUGGCUAUGGUUUUAGAAUAUGUUUGAAAAUUGCAUUUUAGGAGAUUGUUCUCAUUUAUAAGCUAGUGAAUUUCUUAGGAAAGGAUGUUUGGAGGUUAUUGCAGACUUCUGGCGCACUGUUUGGGAGCCGUUAUGGAAGCAUUUAUAGGGGACAUUGUUUGGUUUGGGACUUGACGUGAAGAGCUAUCAGUCAUAAAGUAGUGUGCAAAGAUUCUCCAUGUUUGAGUCGGUAUUAAAAACCUCUUUAGUGGUACUCUUUUACUGGCAAUACUGUGAGCAGUGAAGGAUCUCUUUGAGGAGACUUUCAACCUUAGUCUGUGCAUGUGGAUAGUGGGACUCUAUUGUUGGCAAUACUGUGAGCAGUGAAGGAUCUCUUCAAGAAGACUUUGAACCUUAGUCCGUGCAUGUGGGUGGUGUUGGUCUCGAC